CCGGGAGUCGGGUGGACGUGCGCGUUCGCCAACCUGGUCAGGUCCGGAAGGAAGCAGCCACAACGAAUAGCGGCGGGUCGCUCGGCUCCUUUUAA
rnacentral:SRP_RNA from 1 species